rnacentral:rRNA from 1 species
AUUGAACGCUGGCGGCAGGCCUAACACAUGCAAGUCGAGCGAGCGGCGGACGGGUGAGUAAUGUCUGGGAAACUGCCUGAUGGAGGGGGAUAACUACUGGAAACGGUAGCUAAUACCGCAUACCAUCAGAUGUGCCCAGAUGGGAUUAGCUAGUAGGUGGGGUAAUGGCUCACCUAGGCGACGAUCCCUAGCUGGUCUGAGAGGGUGACCAGCCACACGGGAACUGAGACACGGUCCAGACGCCUAGGUGAGGCAGCAGGGGGGAAUAUUGCACAAUGGGCGCAAGCCUGAUGCAGCCGUGCCGCGUGUGUGAAGAAGGCCUUCGGGUUGUAAAGCACUUUCAGCGAGGAGGCGUUCUCGCGGAAAAGCACCGGCUAACUCCGUGCCAGCGCCGCGGUAAUC